rnacentral:rRNA from 1 species
GACGUAGGGGACGAGCGUUGUCCGGAUUCAUUGGGCGUAAAGCGCGCGUAGGCGGUUCGGUAAGUCGGGUGUGAAAACACGAGGCUCAACCUCGUGCGUGCAUCCGAUACUGCCGGACUAGAGGUAGGUAGGGGAGAUCGGAAUUCCUGGUGUAGCGGUGAAAUGCGCAGAUAUCAGGAGGAACACCGGUGGCGAAGGCGGAUCUCUGGGCCUUACCUGACGCUCAGGCGCGAAAGCUAGGGGAGCGAACAGG